UUGCCUACGGGUGGCAGCAGUGAGGAAUCUUCCGCAAUGGGCGAAAGCCUGACGGAGCAACGCCGCGUGAAUGAAGAAGGCCUUCGGGUCGUAAAGUUCUGUCUUUAGGGAAGAAGUCCCAUAAUGUAAAUAAUGUUACGGGGUGACGGUACCUGAGGAGGAAGCUCCGGCUAACUACGUGCCAGCAGCCGCGGUAAUACGUAGGGAGCGAGCGUUGUCCGGAAUUACUGGGCGUAAAGGGCGCGUAGGCGGGUAUUUAAGUCAGAUGUGAAAGCUCCGGGCUUAACUUGGAGAGUGCAUUUGAAACUGGAUAUCUUGAGGGCAGGAGAGGAAAGUGGAAUUCCUAGUGUAGCGGUGGAAUGCGUAGAUAUUAGGAGGAACACCAGUGGCGAAGGCGACUUUCUGGACUGUACCUGACGCUGAGGCGCGAAAGCAUGGGGAGCAAACGGGAUUAGAUACCCCGGUAGUCUAC
rnacentral:rRNA from 1 species